AUUGGACGCUGGCGGCAGGCCUAACACAUGCAAGUCGAGCGGCAGCGGAAAGUAGCUUGCUACUUUGCCGGCGAGCGGCGGACGGGUGAGUAAUGUCUGGGAAACUGCCUGAUGGAGGGGGAUAACUACUGGAAACGGUAGCUAAUACCGCAUAACGUCGCAAGACCAAAGAGGGGGACCUUCGGGCCUCUUGCCAUCAGAUGUGCCCAGAUGGGAUUAGCUAGUAGGUGGGGUAACGGCUCACCUAGGCGACGAUCCCUAGCUGGUCUGAGAGGAUGACCAGCCACACUGGAACUGAGACACGGUCCAGACUCCUACGGGAGGCAGCAGUGGGGAAUAUUGCACAAUGGGCGCAAGCCUGAUGCAGCCAUGCCGCGUGUAUGAAGAAGGCCUUCGGGUUGUAAAGUACUUUCAGCGGGGAGGAAGGCGAUAAGGUUAAUAACCUUGUCGAUUGACGCUACCCGCAGAAGAAGCACCGGCUAACUCCGUGCCAGCCGCCGCGGUAA
rnacentral:rRNA from 1 species